CAGAUACGACAUUCAGAAAGCUGUCUGUGAGCUCCGAACCCUCUAUCAUUUAUGACGGUUGUGCAAUGGAUCCAGCAACAGGACUGCAGUACCUCUUUAACAGUAAAACGGGUGAAGUCCAGUGGCUAAACCAGAAGACCUCUACUAUAUAACAUUUACUUCCUGCUAAUAUCAACACUUUUCACAUCUCUUCGGUCUGACAGCCCCAUAUGUAUGGACAAAACAGUUUUCAAACAAUUCA